rnacentral:rRNA from 1 species
GCGCAUUUAUUAGAACAAAACCACGCGGCUUCGGCUGCUUCUUGUUGACUCAGAAUAACUUAGCUGACCGCAUGGCCUUGUGCCGGCGGCGUGUCUUUCAAGCGUCCACUUUAUCAACUUGACGGGAGCAUAAUCGACUCCCGUGGUGGUGACGGAUAACGGAGGAUCAGGGUUCGACUCCGGAGAAGGGGCCUGAGAAAUGGCCACUACGUCUAAGGAUGGCAGCAGGCGCGCAAAUUACCCACUCUCGGCUCGAGGAGGUAGUGACGAGAAAUAACGAGACUGUUCUCUUUGAGGCCGGUCAUCGGAAUGGGUACAAUUUAAACCCUUUAACGAGUAUCAAGCAGAGGGCAAGUCUGGUGCCAGCAGCCGCGGUAAUUCCAGCUCUGCAAAUACAUAGAAUUAUUGCUGCGGUUAGAAAGCUCAUAGUUGGAUUCGUAUCGAUACCUUGGAACCCUUCGGGUGUCUCUAGGUGUUAUCGAUUUAUCGUAAUGUUCGGUUUUGAGUCCUUAACAGGAUUCUUAACAGGCAUUGCAAGUUUACUUUGAACAAAUCAGAGUGCUUCAAACAGGCGUUUUCGCUUGAAUGAUCGUGCAUGGAAUAAUAGAAAAUGAUUUCGGUUCAGUUUUAUUGGUUUUACGGACUGAGAUAAUGGUUAACAGAGACAAACGGGGGCAUUUGUAUGGUCCCGUGAGAGGUG